rnacentral:ncRNA from 1 species
AAGGCGGGAAUCGAAAAGCCUGUAAAAGAGUAGGAA